GCUGUCUGGGGAGGACCUAUAACUUAUUCACCACGCACAGAGAGAGUCACGCGCUAGAACGGGAUAGAGACAGAGACUAUCCUGUGGUGAAGAUGUCACCGUAGGUAAGAUCACACUAGUCAUUUCUCUUAUGUACGAAAAAUCAUUUAUUGAGUAAAUUUCUUUUCGAUUUCUUUUUGUAUUUUUUUCACAUGUUCACAAAAUUGUAUUUAGGUUUUCUAAUAUUCUUCUUGGCCUUGGGAUACAAUGUAAGCUUGUGGGAUGUGUUUGUUUUGUGUGUGUGUGUGUGUGUGUUAGUUAGAUUUGGUUGUUUGUUUUGUGGUAAAUUUUCGUAUUGAGCGCUAGCAAUUAACAUUUAAUUACACCGAAAUGGGGAAAACAUCUUACGCAGAUUAGUACGAGUAUACAUCUAUGUAUAUUUUUUGGUAUAAGUUUUUGGUUUUUCGAUUUUGUUUUGGGGUUUUGGAUUUUGGAUUCUGGGUUUUGGGUUUUGGGGUACGGGUUGAAAUUAGAAAGAAGAAAUUUUUGUAAUUUUGAUAAUUGGUAAACAAAUGCCCUUUACUUUACUCACUGGUAAAUACUUGGUACUAAACUUAUACAUAUGUUACAACGGCAGAAAUGACAUCCAGUAGUACAUAGAUACAUAAGUUACAUAUAUCUAUAGGGGGAGCUGUUUUCUUUAGCCUAUUUAAUGUUGUUUAUAUGGUUAUUUUGUGUGUGUGUGUACUUAAUGGCAGAUAAAAACAUACACAGUACAUCCAUACAUAUGUACAUACAUUUUACUACACACAUACAUACAUACGUAUAUGUACAUAUGUACAAGUUUUGUGAUUAUUGUACAUCCAUAUCGAUGUACCUCUCCAUCGUUUUUGCAAUUUUUGUCUUGUCUUUUGGUUAAUUUUUUGUGAAUUUAUUUAUUUUUGUAUCUUUUUUCAUAGGAAACAACAAAAAUGGACGCAAAAUUAUUGUUAUAGUAGUGUUCAAGUUGACCCAUUUUGCUUUUUGUUUUUAUUAUUUAACUAUGUAUGUAUAUAGGAAUAUGCAAAACGUACACUUAAUAUAUAUUGUUUUUAAUGUUUUUUUUUGUUUUUUUAACUUUUUUGCCCACGGUACUUCACUUAGGUUUCUGUUACUAUAUAGUAAAUGCAGCUCUAAAACUUUGUAUUCUCUGACAUUGUUUAUGUUUAGUAUCUGUGUGGGUAUUGUAUAUAGUCCUUAUGCCUGCUCAAAUACAUUUAAUAACAUUUCUAUAGAAAUAUUCAAAGCUGAGGUAGUUAAUUCAUUCAUUAUUCAUUUACUUUAGUUUAUUUUUAGUUAAGUUUACGUUUACGUUUACUCCAUAUAGUUUAUAUAUACAUAUGUAUAUGUACAUACAUAUAUACGCACGUGGUUAGCUUACGGGUAGUAUGACGGCAUUACAGGUGUAGUCAUCUGUACACACAACUGUACCUCUGUGUGUACCAUUCUGGCAUCUCAUCUUAUCGUUCAUAUUAAAUUCAUUUAGGGUUUGCAUUGUGGGUUCUCUGGGUGUGGGUAUGGUUAUGGGUAUAUGGCUAUAUGGCUAUAUGGCAAUGUUGAACAUCGAAAGCGUUUUCGGAAACGAACGGAUCGGUUGGGAUGGUAUUGGAUUUAAGGAGUUCUGGAAACGAACUCAAAAGCAAUAAACAAUAAGCUGCCUGGCUAUAAAAACUAAAAUUAAAGGUACUGUAAAUACGGGAUACACUGAACUACAAAUCAAGAAAGGCAAUAAUAAAAACAAGAGUGUACAAAUUUUGUUUGUGUUUUUUUCUUUUUUUUUUUUGGUUUUUUUUAAUAAUAUUUUACUCUUUU
rnacentral:lncRNA from 1 species